UAAAAUGAAAAGACAAUGCAGGGCCAAAAA
rnacentral:piRNA from 1 species